AUAUAUUGUAUUUUAAAUACAUAAUCAUACUUUUGUUCAUUUAAUUGCUCAAAUUGAAUUAUUUGUUGUUUUUUAUAUUUGCAGGGGUCCUUCUGACAUUUCAGAGAUUUGUCAAAGAGCUUCAACAUGAAAAGCCAAUGGUGCAUUUGUUGCAUGUGGAAAUGGUGGCCCUUGUUAGAGAGCUCCUGAGCAAAUUUAUGAGACCAAAGGCUAUUCCACUGAGUCACAAGGAGAUUCUCAAGGUUGAUGUACGGAGCAGGGAUUUGCAACUGUCAAACCAGAGGCUCUCUGUUGGACAAUUCUGCUACAAUGCAAUGAACAAAGCUCGUGUGGAGAGGAAGGUAUGGGUUGGACAUAUCUAUGACUCUCUCAGAGAAGGGUAUAUGAGGUCAGCAGAGUUUCUGCUAAAAAACCUUCCCCUGGAUAACAUCAUAUUAACAUCACUCUCUGCUCUGACGCCGUCUCUAAUUCAAUCCGAUGCAGUUGUUGGAGCAUUCACUACAUUAGGAGAGGCCUUGCCAAAUGUUGUCCCUCCAGAAGAGAUCGGUCAACUGGUUGAAGAAUGCCGGGCCUACCAGAUGGAUGCGGACAUGCUUCUUCGUGUACCAAACUACAUCGAAGGGGACUGUCGAGUUGAUGUAGACUGGUGGAGCCAUGUUGCUUCUUUGAAAAAUGCAGAGAGAGGUGUGAAGUAUCCCACCCUGUGCAAACUUGUUAAAGCGCUUCUGUCCAUUUUUACAGGCCCCUUGGUGGAAGGAUCAUUCAAUUUAAUGGAUGAUAUCCUAGAGUCUGACAGGUGCUCCAUGAAUGUGGAAACAUACGAGAGCCUCGCAGUGAUCAAGUCCACACUUAAGGCCAGGAACUGGACAGCCUCAACUAUGAACAUUGACCAGCCUUUAAGGCGAUCCUGCCUUUCCUCAUUCCAAAACUACCAAUUACAUUUAAAGAAAAAGAAAGAGACUGCACAGGCACUAAAGAAGAAAAGGCUUAGUGAGGCAGCAAGGAUUCUGUCCUCAAAGGAGGCAAACAAAUUGUCUCAACAGGCCCGAAAAACCAAAAGGCCAGCAAUA
ensembl:lncRNA